rnacentral:rRNA from 1 species
UACGUAGGUGGCAAGCGUUGUCCGGAAUUAUUGGGCGUAAAGCGCGCGCAGGCGGUCCUUUAAGUCUGAUGUGAAAGCCCACGGCUCAACCGUGGAGGGUCAUUGGAAACUGGGGGACUUGAGUGCAGAAGAGGAAAGCGGAAUUCCACGUGUAGCGGUGAAAUGCGUAGAGAUGUGGAGGAACACCAGUGGCGAAGGCGGCUUUCUGGUCUGUAACUGACGCUGAGGCGCGAAAGCGUGGGUAGCAAACGGG